GCCAGGAGAGCCGCAGCACCCAGCCACCCCUGGCCUUCCAUGUCCUUCCUCAGUGCAGGAGGAUUCCCGAGGUGUUCUUUCAAAGGCAGGACCAUGGAGCAGUACAGGAAGUAUUCUGCUAUGGAGUCAGAAUUUAGCUUAAGAGUUCACAGGAAAAAUGCACAGUGUACAACUUUAAGUUACUUGCUUGUGGAACAGAAGAACAAAAAAGAAUUGCCACAGAAUUCAGACUUGUGGAGUGUAAUCACCCAGAGUAAGGCCAGCCUGGAAUCCAAAUCAGCUGCCUCCUGUAUGCUGUGUGGAACAUGCCGGCUGAAUCCCAGGCUGUUGCAAGAUCUCCUCUUCCCAUAAUGGGGUACAAAGGUAGCCCCUUUCAGGUA